UCCUUGCAUGUGAUCCCGUGUCCUUGCAUGUCAGCCCAUGACUUCCUGUGUCAGCCUGCAUCCUUCUGUCUCAUCUUGGGUCCUCCUGUGUCAUCCCGUGUCCUCGCGUGUCAGCACAUGGCCUUGCAUGUCAUCCCCUGUCCUUGCUUGUCAUCCCAUGUCCUCACAUGUGAUCCCGUGCCCUCACAUGUCAGCACAUGUCCUUGCGUGUCAGCCCAUGUCCUCGUGUCAUCCUGUGUCCUUGCGUGUGAUCCCGUGUCCUCACAUGUCAGCCCAUGUCCUCGCGUGCCAGCCCGUGUCCUUGUGUCAACCCGUGACUUCCUGUGUCAGCCCGUGUCCUCGCGUGUCAGCCCAUGUCCUCGUGUGUCCCCAUGUCCUCGUGUGUCCCCAUGUCCUCGUGUGUCCCCAUGUCCCCAUGUGUGUCCCCAUGUCUUUGUGUCCCCAAGUCCUCUUCCUUGUCCCCCUGCCACCUUUCACGUCUCCCUGUCCCCACUUCUGUCCCCACCCGUGUCCCCAAGUCCCCCCCCAUCUCCCUCCACCCGCGUGUCCCCCUCUGUGUCCCCACUCAUGUCCCCCUGUCCCCACGUGUCCUGCAGUCCCCGCCUCUUGGUGUCCCCCUCUGACCCCCCCAUGUCCCCAUCUGUCCCAUCUUGUCCCCCCGUUGUCCCCGUGCCGCGUGAUGAGCCCUUACUCAGCCGAGCGCCGUCGCCGUCGGUUUUCCUGGGGAGCGGGCGAGGGCCGCGUCCCCCUCGCACCGACACACAGCCACCCCCGCGGGGACAGGGCCGUCCCCGUGUCCCCAAUGUCCCCGGGGGGGGCCGGCCGAGGCCCCCCGGGGUGGGGCCAGAGAUGUGGCAGCACCCGGGCGACGCCGGCACAGCCCUGGGCUGGGCGCUGUGACGAGGGGACAGCUGAUGGCGCGGGGACGUCGCUGGGGGCGUUGGGGGGAAUGGGGGCAAUGGGGGACAGCGUGGGUAACGGGGACAGCGGGGAUGGUGGGGACACUGGGGACAUUGGGGGUGAUGGGGACAUUGGGGACAUCGGGGAUGAUGGGGACAUUGGGGACAUUAGGGACAUCGGGGAUGAUGGGGACAUUGGGGAUGCUGGAGACAUUGGGGAACAUUGGGGGUGA
rnacentral:lncRNA from 1 species